rnacentral:misc_RNA from 1 species
AGCCUUAAUCCCAAAGAAGUUGGGUUCAGAUGAAUGGAUUCUUUUGACCAUGCAGCUCUAUUACACACCAAGUCUACAAGAGGGAGAGAGAGCAAAAGCCAUUUUUAAGCACGUCACCUACUAUUAGUCCCUGAGGUGCAAUCAAACACUCAUGCUAUGAAAAUAAUAAAAUCAUACACCAAAGAUAAAACUCUAAAACUUGUCCCCAUAAUGCACAAAACUAGGUAAAUGGAAGUCUAUGCAAAAUGUUAUGAAAGAGCUAUAUUCUAGAAAGUCUCCAUAUUCAGAGACAAUUUUCAUGUACUUUCUGCUCAAAAGUUGCCAUCUCUGGCUUUCUUAUCUGUCUAUCAAGCCAUUAAUAGGUCUGUAUUUUCUUGAAUUGAAGCUCAUUACCACAGUUCAUCCGUAACCUACAAUAGCCAUUUUUCUAAUAUCCUAUUAAUUGACCAAACAUUUUGAAUUGAACAGAGCAUGUUUUCUUUAAGUAGCCUUUCUUAUGGAGUAAACAUCAGGAGUCGAAACAAGCAAAAAAGCUGUGAAAUUGAACUGAACUUGCUUGAACAAGUAGGUGCAGUUAACUAAGGUCAUACAUCAAAUCAUUUAAAAGGUGCCUAAAUACUGAGAGAAGAGAAAAUGAUCAAGAUUGUAGAAGCUCUUAUUUAAUAAUUUCUGACAA